rnacentral:rRNA from 1 species
UAAUACAGAGGGUGCGAGCGUUAAUCGGAAUUACUGGGCGUAAAGCGCGCGUAGGCGGCUAUGCAAGUCGAGUGUGAAAUCCCCGGGCUCAACCUGGGAACUGCAUUCGAGACUGCAUUGCUUGAGUAUGGGAGAGGGAGGCGGAAUUUCAGGUGUAGCGGUGAAAUGCGUAGAUAUCUGAAGGAACAUCAGUGGCGAAAGCGGCCUCCUGGACCAAUACUGACGCUCAUGUGCGAAAGCGUGGGGAGCAAACAGGAUUAGAUACCCUGGUAGUCCACGCCAUAAACGAUGAGAACUAGAUGUCGGGAGGGUUAGCCUCUCGGUGUCGCAGCUAACGCGUUAAGUUCUCCGCCUGGGGAGUACGGCCGCAAGGUUG